rnacentral:rRNA from 1 species
CACGUAGGGCGCGAGCGUUGUCCGGAAUUAUUGGGCGUAAAGAGCUCGUAGGCGGCCUGUUGCGUCCGCUGUGAAAGCCCGGGGCUUAACCCCGGGUCGGCAGUGGAUACGGGCAGGCUAGAGGUAGGUAGGGGAGAAUGGAAUUCCCGGUGUAGCGGUGAAAUGCGCAGAUAUCGGGGAGGAACACCGGUGGCGAAGGCGGUUCUCUGGGCCUUACCUGACGCUGAGGAGCGAAAGCGUGGGGAGCGAACGG